UCCUAGAGAGAACUGCAUUUAGUGGAGGCUAAGUUAUAUCUUACAAUAUAACUAUUUUUGUACAACUACUUCUAAAUUAUAUGCACACAGAACAUUUACAGAUGACAAGCAUUUCAUUUUCUGUUUGCAUGGUUAUCUGUCAGUUUAAGGUCUUGCAUUUCAGAGCCACUCUGAAUUUUCUGGGCGGGGAAGGUGGUGGUACCAUAGGAGCACUGUGCUGUUAGCACUACAGGCACUGUCACAGAAGGGGUUGACCUGCUGCCUCCCCAUGGACAGGGUAUGGCACCAUCCUCCUGCCCUUGUGACUCAGUGUAGAGUCUGGAUGAGACACCAGUGAAAUUAGAGCACUGAGACAGAAGCAGGAAUUGACAGGAGGUUGAAGAUCACUAACACUACACUUUUCAGAUCAUUUAAAAGCACUGUUACUUGGAUUCUAUUUGCUUUACUUCCAGAACUUGCAAUGAAACCUUCGUCAUGCAGCCAGUCAUUUAUUCACAGCCUACCAGCAUCCCAUAAACUUUACUCUUCUCACUUCUUUACUUUGUGGAGUUUGAUAAUUUCUGUUUUUAAACACUAUCAUACACCUGUAGCCUGUGCUUCCCCCUAAGUUUAGCCCCACAGGUAGUGAGGUCUCCUUCUUCAAUGCAGUUUACCAUCAUCAGACAUGUCCUAGAUGGCUCUCUUAGACAUUCCAGAUAAUUCUGAGAAGCUGACUGGCAAACACCCAGUCUUUUUGUUCUGUAACAAUCCUAUGUUAUCAAAGGUUUAUGAUGAACGUAUUUGCUUUCUAAACAAAAAACGAC
ensembl:lncRNA